rnacentral:snRNA from 10 species
AGAUUAAUGUGGCAGUGGUCCAGCCACCCUGGUGUCUCAUACGUCUAGAGAGACAACAAAUUCAAGAUGGUCCUUUGCACUAAGGGAAUGCCAAUCCUUGUGAUUUUCCCAGAAAUGGAAAACUCAAAUGCAUAAUUUUUCACAGUGAUGGACUGCAUUUAUGUCUCCUUCC